AGUGAACGCUGGCGGUAGGCCUAACACAUGCAAGUCGAACGGCAGCACAGUAAGAGCUUGCUCUUACGGGUGGCGAGUGGCGGACGGGUGAGGAAUACAUCGGAAUCUACUUUUUCGUGGGGGAUAACGUAGGGAAACUUACGCUAAUACCGCAUACGACCUACGGGUGAAAGCAGGGGAUCUUCGGACCUUGCGCGAUUGAAUGAGCCGAUGUCGGAUUAGCUAGUUGGCGUGGUAAAGGCCCACCAAGGCGACGAUCCGUAGCUGGUCUGAGAGGAUGAUCACCCACACUGGAACUGAGACACGGCCCAGACUCCUACGGGAGGCAGCAGUGGGGAAUAUUGGACAAUGGUCGCAAGCCUGAUCCAGCCAUACCGCGUGGGUGAAGAAGGCCUUCGGGUUGUAAAGCCCUUUUGUUGGGAAAGAAAAGCAGCAGGUUAAUACCCCGCUGUUCUGACGGUACCCAAAGAAUAAGCACCGGCUAACUUCGUG
rnacentral:rRNA from 1 species